ACUGCAGAUUGUGCAAUUGUGUGGUUGAGUGUGCACAUAAAAAAUGAUUUUGAUUUUUUUCCAGCUUGGCUUUCACUGUCCUUGAGCAUGUGGUCACUUGUUCGAUUAAUUUUGUUAUUCAUUUGGUUUCACUCUUUAUAUAUGGGCAAUGCUUUAUUUACCAUACUAGAACGAUUGUAAAACAAUUGUUUAUUCAUAUAUCACUAGGCUAAUGAAUACCAUGUUGGUUGUAAGCAUGUUAUUGGUUCUGUGAGUUGCAG
rnacentral:lncRNA from 1 species